rnacentral:rRNA from 1 species
GACGAACGCUGGCGGCGUGCUUAACACAUGCAAGUCGAACGGUAAGGCCCUUCGGGGUACACGAGUGGCGAACGGGUGAGUAACACGUGGGUGAUCUGCCCUGCACUUCGGGAUAAGCCUGGGAAACUGGGUCUAAUACCGGAUAGGACUCCGGACUGCAUGGUCUGGGGUGGAAAGCCUUUGCGGUGUGGGAUGGGCCCGCGGCCUAUCAGCUUGUUGGUGGGGUGAUGGCCUACCAAGGCGACGACGGGUAGCCGGCCUGAGAGGGUGACCGGCCACACUGGGACUGGGAUACGGCCCAGACUCCUACGGGAGGCAGCAGUGGGGAAUAUUGCACAAUGGGCGCAAGCCUGAUGCAGCGACGCCGCGUGAGGGAUGACGGCCUUCGGGUUGUAAACCUCUUUCAGCACCGACGAAGCGCAAGUGACGGUAGGUGCAGAAGAAGGACCGGCCAACUACGUGCCAGCCGCCGCUGUAA